rnacentral:misc_RNA from 1 species
UCUCCGUUGGUAAACCAGCGGAGGGAUCAUUACAGGACUCGCAAGACUCCUUCACCCUGUGAACCUCACUACAAGCACGUUGCUUCGGCGGGUGUCCCGGCGGGGGUUUUCCCUCGCCGGGGCGCACAGCCCGCCGGCAGCCUACUAUACUCUGUCUCUUUGCGUUGGCAUCUCGAGAAAAAACAAACAAGUUAAAACUUUCAACAACGGAUCUCUUGGUUCUG